rnacentral:rRNA from 1 species
AGAGUUUGAUCAUGGCUCAGAGCGAACGCUGGCGGCAGGCCUAACACAUGCAAGUCGAACGAACUCUUCGGAGUUAGUGGCGGACGGGUGAGUAACACGUGGGAACGUGCCUUUAGGUUCGGAAUAGCUCCUGGAAACGGGUGGUAAUGCCGAAUGUGCCCUUCGGGGGAAAGAUUUAUCGCCUUUAGAGCGGCCCGCGUCUGAUUAGCUAGUUGGUGGGGUAAUGGCCCACCAAGGCUACGAUCAGUAGCUGGUCUGAGAGGAUGACCAGCCACAUUGGGACUGAGACACGGCCCAAACUCCUACGGGAGGCAGCAGUGGGGAAUCUUGCGCAAUGGGCGAAAGCCUGACGCAGCCAUGCCGCGUGUAUGAUGAAGGUCUUAGGAUUGUAAAAUACUUUCACCGGUGAAGAUAAUGACUGUAGCCGGAGAAGAAGCCCCGGCUAACUUCGUGCCAGCAGCCGCGGUAAUACGAAGGGGGCUAGCGUUGCUCGGAAUUACUGGGCGUAAAGGGAGCGUAGGCGGACAUUUAAGUCAGAGGUGAAAUCCCGGAGCUUAACUUCGGAACUGCCUUUGGUACUGGGUGUCUUGAGUGUGAGAGAGGUAUGUGGAACUCCGAGUGUAGAGGUGAAAUUCGUAGAUAUUCGGAAGAACACCAGUGGCGAAGGCGACAUACUGGCUCAUUACUGACGCUGAGGCUCGAAAGCGUGGGGAGCAAACAGGAUUAGAUACCCCGGUAGUCCAA